ACAUGCUCCUGAUUUGUCUCUUCUAAUUUACUUGAUGAUAAAUACUAGAUCUUUCAGUUCCUUCUCAUAAACUGAUGAGCAGGUUUGUCUCCUAUAUUCCCUUAAUGAUAUCUUUUGGCGUCAAGCCUAAGGUGAUCGUAGCCACCAGCAUUAAUCCAAAAUUCGUCGGAGCUAGAUAUCUUUAACUUCAUCUUUAAAACAAGUUUACAGUUCCAUAGUGAUCUGUAGCUAUCUUUGUCAAUCUUCCAGGCCGCCUCUUACUGAAUGCAACUUCUGGCACUCAUUUCUAUUUUCGACAAAGACAAACGCAAGUGAGACUUUCAUCCGAUUUGGGUGUUGGUGACGUGAACUGCUCCACAAGUUCCACCAAAUAUGAAGGUGUGAAGAAAAUUGAAGUUGUGACGGUCUUUGAGCUUAACGCAUACGUGGUUAACUCGACCCCACAGGUUACCGAGUUUUGUGCACUGGAAAAAGGUGAGUUGAUUGAAACGGGCAGUGGCUGGUGCUACAUACCCUGCUCUAAUGGGAUCUCUUCCUGCAUGUAGUGACUUAACCUCUGUUGGUGUUGUCAGAUAUCGUGUGGAGCUGUGCAUUUCAGAUGGUACAGAGUCUGCAGUGUUUGUUGUUUUCUAUGCCGAAAUUUCAUGGUUGACUAAUGUGCGUGCGGCGUAAAUCAGUGAACUUAUGGGUGUUGGUGUGGGAGACUGUAGGGGCUGAGGUUCCACAAUUUCUGCAAAAUAUUAUUGGAAAAACGUUCACUUUCCAGUUGGAGCUAACUGAGUUAGCAUCAGACCUUCACUGUUUCACGUAUCUUUGACCGCAUCAGCGUCCCCUCACAGCAACAUUUGCGAUUCAUGGUGGGCACAACUAUCCUGAUGACGAUUUGCAUGGUGACGAUAUAAGUUUCCUGCAAUUGCUUAGAUGGUGACAAGACAAGUGCCACUGACCAGAACACUUGACGUAAUGACCUCCCCAUGAACCCCAGGGGUCCAUCUGCAGCAGAAGCAACAAGUGAUGAGCUCAAUUCUGGCAGGAUCAUUGCAGAUGAACAACAGCUUCCAGGAGCUGGUUGCCCACUCAAGAAGGCUCGCACAGAGUAGUUACUCAAGUGAUCUACCUUAUAGCCCUUCUAUUUCUUACAAGCUUAAGUUCACAUUAUAUUUUUUUUACAUUACAUAAUUUUCUUUCAAUUUCUAUGCUCUCAGCUAAAUCAUUAAAUAAAACAUAUUAAUGGUAACUCUAA